GCGGGCGUGGCGGAACGGCAGACGCGCCAGACUUAGGAUCUGGUGGAGAACAUCCGUGGAGGUUCAAGUCCUCUCGCCCGCA
rnacentral:tRNA from 1 species